UACGUAGGGUGCAAGCGUUGUCCGGAAUUAUUGGGCGUAAAGAGCUCGUAGGCGGUCUGUCGCGUCUGCUGUGAAAACUCGGGGCUUAACCCCGGGCCUGCAGUGGGUACGGGCAGACUAGAGUGCGGUAGGGGAGACUGGAAUUCCUGGUGUAGCGGUGAAAUGCGCAGAUAUCAGGAGGAACACCGGUGGCGAAGGCGGGUCUCUGGGCCACUACUGACGCUGAGGAGCGAAAGCGUGGGGAGCGAACAGG
rnacentral:rRNA from 1 species